rnacentral:rRNA from 1 species
UACGUAGGCAGCAAGCGUUGUUCGGAAUUACUGGGCGUAAAGAGUGUGUAGGCGGUGUUCUAAGUUUGGUGUGAAAUCUCCCGGCUCAACCGGGAGGGUGCGCCGAAUACUGAGGGACUCGAGUGCGGGAGAGGAAAGUGGAAUUCCUGGUGUAGCGGUGAAAUGCGUAGAUAUCAGGAGGAACACCGGUGGUGUAGACGGCUUUCUGGACCGUAACUGACGCUGAGACACGAAAGCGUGGGUAGCAAACAGG